UAACCGACAGACAACCAUAUUUGGCUCAAAAAUUUCAGAAUUUGAAGCUACAGUGCAGACAAGACCAACUAUGAGACCAAUGGCCACUUCACAUUGUCUGAGAACUUUCUCAUGGGAAGUUUUCAGCCGUUAAUGACUUAAAUCUCGACAUGAUCUAAUCAUAAAAUCAUGAAAAAGAUGCUCUCUUUGUAUCAAAUUUUGAACUUUUUAAAGUUUUUGAUUUUCUAAUAAUUGUACUGAAUUUACCUUGUCUGAACUGUUGAAAUAGGAACUUUCCACAACUUUCAGAUAAAUGGCAAGAACUUGUUUUCCAGUGACCUGCAAAAAAGCAGGAUCUUCAUGAUUACAAACAGGAUUUUCAGAGGCAAUGAUGGAGUGAAUUAUCAGUGCAACAUUGUUACUUACUUUGUCAAACUUCUUCAAAAUCUUUAUGAAGGCAAGCUUGUUCAACUGCCUGAAGAAUGAUCUCAAUGAUCAAAGAGACAUUAAAAAUAACGAAACUUCAACAAUCUGUUCUUCAUUAUUACCUGAACUUGGCAGCCGAAACUUUUGGUUGCAUUUGAAACAAGUUGAUGAAUUACCACAAGAAAUUGUAGAGGAGAUGGAGCCAUCCUCCUUGGAAUCCGGCAUGAUAUCUCUGGUCUGGUGCCGGUGCUGGAUCGCCGUCUUCAGGUCAAUGAGAAUCUCCAGUUGUUUCUUCAAGCUUUCUCCCAACUCCAUGAACUCUGUCUCCUUUGUCUUGAAGAAUUGAUUCACCUUAUUCAGCUGGAAAUCCAAACAUGAAAAGAAUUCCUUUGCUGCAGCUGUAUCAGCAAAUUGUUCCAGCAGCUCUGUUUCGUACAUGUCUCCGUUGCUAACAGAGGAAGCAAGUUUCUUAUGAACCUGUUGGAAAAAGAUUUCAAGUUCAUGUUAUAUUUUACUACACACACAAAUACACAAUCAUGCAAAAUGGGGGAAAAAACUGUGGGAAGUUGUCAGAAAAAGAGUACAUGAAUAGGUCCAUGAUCUCUGCGUUGGUGACCAAAUAUAGAGAAAUUCUUUAUAGAAGACAAGACAGUACUCGCAACCGUGCCGGUGGCGGCGGAAGAGUCGGUCUUGUUAUCAGUUUUAAGAAGAUAGAGUUUCUUGAGGUAGCAGAGCAGAGUCGGAGAGAGGGAAGAGAAGGGAUGAUGUUGAAGAAGAAGAAGAAAAAGAAG